rnacentral:rRNA from 1 species
UAUAUAAAAGAAGCGUUUGCUUCGCUAGAGGAUCGGGGUGCGUAACAUUAGCUUGUUGGUGAGGUAAAGGCUCACCAAGGCGAUGAUGUUUAGCGGGGUUGAGAGACUGAUCCGCCACACUGGGACUGAGAUACGGCCCAGACUCCUACGGGAGGCAGCAGUAGGGAAUUUUCCACAAUGGACGAAAGUCUGAUGGAGCGACACAGCGUGCAGGAUGACGGCCUUCGGGUUGUAAACUGCUGUUAUAAGGGAAGAAAAAAUCAUAGAGGGAAUGCUAUGAUCUUGACGGUACCUUAUCAGAAAGCAA